CUAAGUGCUCAGUCUUUACUCACACAUCCGGGUUCCUAGCUCAGCACAGCGAUAUAAGGCUGAGAAACCAUCGUGUUGGCCAUUGCUGCAAGACCUUCAGCACGAAUCAGUGUCCUGUCAUCAUGCGUCACCUGGUCAUCGUCGUGGCAGUGGUGGUGUUGGUGGUGUGUCAGCUGGUCGUGGCUGAUGAGGUUGCCUCCCAGCAAGAGGAAUUGGACCUGCAGCACGCGCUUGAUAAACGAGAGGCGCGCAUCUAUCCUUACACACGGAGACCACUUCGUACAGCUCGCCCUUUGCCAUUUGUUAGACCAGACAUUAUUCCUAUUCCACCAUAUAGACCGUCACCUACACGAAGACCACCCCCUAUACGUGUGUGAGGUCCUGACUGUGGACAUCAGACUUCACUGCUUCUGGACACAAAAGCCGCUUGUUGUCUCUGUAUGCGCCACCAACUCUCAUGGCUGGUCCUCCACCAGCACAGCUCAGAAAUAUCUCAAGGUAGAAGCACUUUCCUGCUAAACAAAUCAACCAACCCACCGGUUUCAUAAUACCCAUCUUGCUUUAAUUAGCGAUCUUUUGGACAGAAACAAUGAGAUUGAUUAUGUAGACCUUUGAAACCAACUCUGUUAUCGAGAUUUUUAUUUUUAAUAUUAUCACACCGCUCGUGAUCAAUCUCAUUUGGCAUGUAAACAAACAAAUAAAAUCACAAAGGAGACA